rfam:Rattus norvegicus chromosome 11, whole genome shotgun sequence.
GGGGAUUUAGCUCAGUGGUAGAGCGCUUGCCUAGCAAGCGCAAGGCCCAGGGUUCAGUCCUCA